AGAACGAACGCUGGCGGCAGGCCUAACACAUGCAAGUCGAACGCUCGUAGCAAUACGGGAGUGGCGCACGGGUGAGUAACGCGUGGGCACCUGCCCGGUGGUUUGGGAUAACCGUGGGAAACUGCGGCUAAUACCGGAUACGCCCCUAGGGGGAAGAUUUAUCGCCAUCGGAUGGGCCCGCGUAGGAUUAGCUAGUUGGUGAGGUAACGGCUCACCAAGGCGACGAUCCUUAGCUGGUCUGAGAGGAUGAUCAGCCACACUGGGACUGAGACACGGCCCAGACUCCUACGGGAGGCAGCAGUGGGGAAUAUUGGACAAUUGGGGGGCAAACCCCGUACGACGUA
rnacentral:rRNA from 1 species